GCCUUGCUCGGAGUCCCAGGAGAUCCACAGGUCCAGCGUGAACAGUGAGAGGUCAGAGGUGGAAGGCUCAGCAGGAGAGGAGAGGAGGAUCAGCAGAGGUCAUGAGAAGGCCAGAAUCCAGGGUCAGGCUGUCUGGAACAGGAAGUAAAAUGGGCCGAGAUGGAGCGAGCCCCCAGUGUGCUUCCGAGGCCACUCCCAACUCCCUGAAACACCCUGCUACGUACUGACCCAAUGCCCUGCGCUGUGUAUGAGAGCACCUUCUCCUCCGAAACCCCUGUACAAGGGAGGGGCCCCUGCGGAGACCGUGCCCUGCCAUCCAGUUCUCAAGGGCAUUCUAAAAAACUAGUGACAAAGUAGGGAAGCAGCUGAGCUGGAAAGGAGUUCUGAGGACGAUGGAACCUUGGGUAAGGAGGAAGAAAGCUGCCCACCCGCCCUUUUCUGGCAGCCACCCUCCCUCACACUGUCCGUUCCUUGAUGACACAGCUGAUGUGAUUAAGAUCGUCCCCAAAUCGCUUCACA